UCUUCUUCUUCUUCUUCUUCUUCUUCUUCUUCUUCUUCUUUUUCUUUUACAGAAAUGAAAAAACAUGUAAUUGGGACCUUGUGGGGCCUGAAUGGGACUGUGGCACAUUCCAUCCAUCCGGUGGCUCAUUCAUUUAGAUUUCAUCAUAACAAGUUGAUUUUUUUGUCAAUUACCAGCAUUUGAAUUAUGAAAAAAAUAGUGAUGAUUUAAUUGUACUUUUUUUUUUUUUCUUUUUACAAAAUAAUUUUGUUGUAAUGACAACAGGCCUAUUUGUUUGACUUUACAUAAACGACUUUGGAACACAGAAUUAUCCCAUGGGUUGUAGUAGUUCAGUGGUUCAUCUUCAUGAGUCCUAAACUUAACGAUUGUCUCUUAAAAGACAAAAACAUACUUAUCCCAUGCAAACAUUUUAUCCUACACCUCAGAUAAAGAUCAAGUAGAUUCAAAUACCGUGCUUAAAGUAAGCAGAUGUUUGACCUUAUGUCCUGAGGUGAGUAAAUUCCAUGCAUUUUUGUAUAUAUAGCUUAGUCCCUGGCUUUUUCACACAGGAGAAUUAGAGGUCUAACUGAUGCUCAGUAAUGCAUGUGAUCUCAGCUGAGCUUGAGAAAUGCAGGCUUGAACUGAAACUGACCAGGAAGGAAUAUUGCUUUGCUCAGUCUUGUUUUAAAGUAAUUAUCUUGAUCAGAGUUGGGCACUGGGACAGGCUCCCCAGGGCAGUGGUUACAACACUGAGCCUGUUGGAGUUCAAGAAGUGUUUGAACAAUGCUCACAGACACAUGGCUUGUUUUUUGGGUGGUCCUGUGCAGAUCUGGGGUUGGACUUGAUUAUCCUUGUGGGUCCCUUUCAACUCAUGAUAUUAUGUGAGUAUAUGAUUAUAAAAAAUAUUGAAAGAGAUAGAAAAGGUAUCUGGCACUAAAACACUUUGGAAAUGCACAUUAUGUAUUGGGAAUAAAUGGAAAUAGGCAACAUCAUUUCACAAGUUUGGUACGCUUAAAAUUGAUACAAAGAGAAAUACAUUAAUCAUUCCCCAAACCUACUUCAAAUUAUGUGUGUGAAGCACAAGGAAAUAUUGUUAAAAACACUUUCAUAGUUUUCAGGAAAUAAAAACCGCUGUCUGCAGUAAAGGAUCCUUAACAUAAUUUUGUCAUUUUGUCAUGUUCAUUAUAUCCUUUAUUUCUGAAAAAAAAUGUUUGUAUUUUUUUCUUAAAACAAAACAAAACACAUUCUUUAUUGUGCUCUUUGGAAGUUACUCAGUUAACUGUAUCUGAUAUUUCUUUUUAUCCUGUUUUUAACUUUCAAUACUAUUCAAGAACAAACAUUUUCAGUAUUACCCUAACACAUCUCACAAACUGUUGCCUCUUCAUGGAAUAGAUAGUGAACAGUGCAUCUAAGAUAAAAUGAACAUCAGAGAAAAUGUCUUACAGAAAACAAGCACAUUCUGAAUGAAGAGCCUUAUAAAGUAGCCAAGGAGCACCAGCCCAAGGACUUAAAUUGCAGUUACAGCUGAUGAACUUGGCUCACAGUGUAGUAAGCAAGCCUUCAAUUUGGAACACUAACUAAGAAUCUGAAUCAAUUAAAGUAAAUUAGGUAAUCCUUGGCUCAUUUCCCCAGGUGUGAAAACAAGACAAGCUCUUUGACUUUAUUUGAAAUGAACAGGUUAAAACAAUAUGGUCUUUGCAUCUGACCAUGACUAGGGAGCCACUGCUGAGAGGCAGGCAGCAGAAGGGCAAACAGAGACCCUCAGCAGAGGAGGCUGCCUUCGAGAAGUGAUGGAGGGAGGAGGAAAAGGACAGUACAGGGCACUCUUCCAAUGGUGGAACAAGGUCAACGCUGACUGCUGAUCACUCAAUUUAAGGAGCCAAGCGUUUGAGGAUCCGCUCCAUGAUCUUGACCAGCACAAAGGGAUAUAAUAAUGUCCACAAGUACCAGCCUGAUGAAGAAAGUACUCCACACUCUUAGCAAGUUAUCCAGGAUACUGUGAUCAAAUCUCUCUUAUAUUAAGGCAGGAAAACACAAGGAUUUGAAGGGCCAAUUCAAAGAACAGGGUGGCAAUCUACUUUGCUUAACUGUAAGACAGAAGCUGUGAAUGGAAAAAGGUCUCAAAGAUCUGCAUAUCGCAACCUUUAUGUGAUGACAGCAGCAACCACAUCCUUGCCCAAUGAAGCUUUCCAUUGGUGUUUUCAUAAGAAAGAUGAUCUCAACCUCACAAUCAGAAAUGUUUAUCUGCUGCUGAGCCAAUAACAAACUCAGAGUUUAAUGUAGUUACGUCCUUGAGGUCAUCCUAAUUCAAAAUCAUCAAAAUCUUCCCCCAAAACACCUAAGACUUUUCCUGUCUAGGUUUAGUCAUCAGCCAUUCUACGUUCCCUCUUCAGUCAAUGGAGAAAGACAGACAUCUCCUGAAAGCAAUUCAGAGAGCUCCUUCAGACAGCAAUUUGACCUGUCUUGCUGCAUGAACUAUAUAUAGAGCCAUGAUUUUUAGCUUGGGCAGUAUGAACUCAUCCUCUUUAUGUUCUGGGCUUUGUUUUAGUAGGUAAUAAGUGAUGAAUCUGUGGUGCUAUAUACUAAAAGUUCCAGUUUUCUAAAACCUCUCUUGUAAACCCACUGUUAAGAAUUGUGGUACAGAUCAAAGGAAGACAAAACAAGGCAUAUACACAUAGAGCACGUCUCCCAUAGUAUUCACAAUCAUAACUCUGAAUAUCAUCCUUCCCAACAAACAAUGUUUGACUGUGAAUGGCAUUUUAGAAUUUCUGAAGCACUUAGUAAAUGGUCAAUUCAUAAAAGAACAAUGUGACAGAUUUUGCCCAUGUACCCUACAUAAAAAAGGGACAACAGCUACUUAAAAUGUUUUGCAUUUAUCAUCUUUAGGCAAAAAAAAAAAAAGAAUUUGGAAUCACUACCCAAUCCCAUGGGAUACUUACUCUGUGUCCAGUGUGACCCUAAUUAUAAUGGUAAUAUAAUGAAGAAAUGUUCCCUCUCUUCCUGUAGCUGCACAGUGGCAAUCUGCAGAAAAUUGCCUUCAGCUGUAGAUAUAUGAAUCUACGUUUCCGAACAGUGAGCUGUGUUCUCACAACAGCACAAGUUUUUUUAAGGGAUCCUUUCAUGAACUGUGAUUAAGAAAGGAGAAUCUCUCAUGCUGUUAGAAAGCACCAGGCAGCCCAAAGUAACAACCAGAUGCCAGCUUAAUUUAAUAUAACUCAAAAAAAAAAAAAUCAAAAAACAAAGCAAAACACAAAACCAACAACCCUACCACAAAGCCCAAAAGGGCACUAGCACUGCCAGUAGUGUGGAUUAUAGAUGGUUGUGACCUUAUUCCAAAUUAAGGUACAUAGCAAGCUUGCAUACUCCAGUGCCAUAGUUGCAACUCUGACUAGCAAUAUGUGAAUAUCUUCUUUGUUAGUCAGUAUUUCCAUGUGCUCAUCACUUCUAGAAACUUCCAUUUACCACUGUUAUAUUUUCUAAUUCAAACAGUUUUUUUUUUUGCUUUUUCUUUUUUUUUUUUCUUUUUCCACAAAUUUCAAGGAAGAGUUCAGCUUUCUCUCUCUCUCCCUCACUCUCUGUCUCAUCAUGCCAAGUGAAAAAUGUUUUUUCCCAUAAUAAUUUAUUUUAAAAUUUGUUACAAUCCUAACACCAAUGAAGUAGGUGGCAAAUAAGGUGACAUUUGGCUGGGUGGGAAUUCUGAAGCGUGCUUCCAAAAUUCAUUUUGAUUUCUUCGGUUUGCGUUGCCGGAGUACUGAGAGCUUCAUGCAAUUCCAUAAGGGAAAUUAAAAAAAGAGUCAGAGCUGUGAACUUACAUUAGUUCUUACUCUUGAAGCAGUGCCUUAUAGCUACAUCCUUAUAAAAGGCUAGCUUCUCAGUAUCAAGGGAUUUCUCAGUAAUCCUUGUGUGAACAAAAGUAUAAAAAUCAAGGCAUACUCCUCUAUUAAGAGCAUUCUAUAUUUUUUUCCCUUUCUGGUUAUUGGCAUUUUGUCAAGGAAGAGAAGGUCAGUUUUCAUUCAGGUAACAAACUAAUUUCAGUCAGACUACAAAAAUUUAGCACCUAAUUGAAUAUAUACUGAGAGCACAUGAGCUGCCUCCUUUGUGGCCAGCAGGAUGGAAGAAUAUUGCAGAGUUUUUCUAGCUCAUUACCAGAAGCCUUGCUGUUGCAAUCUCAGUGGAUGGAACCUAGCAAGCAGGGAACAUCAUUACCCAGUCUAUCUUCCUGCCUCUGAAGGACAGUAAUAUUUAUUGAUUCUCAGGAAGAAAUAAAGGGAUCUUAUAAGCAGAGCAGCAGAUGAAAUCAGUAGACUAUUGACACUGAAAAAGAAAAACAUGAAAAGCAGUGUGUCAGCAAAAGGCCUGUGUAGCUCCAGCUGAAGAGUGUAAGGCACCUUUCCAAGCAGGAGAAUGUUGAAGAGGGCUUAUGAAUUUUGCCCUCCUGUUUCUGACUGGAUGGCCAGGACCAGAUUGCUUGCACGGUCUAACUUAAUAAUUAAGGCUGAUCCUUCCUUGUCAUUGUGCUUGGGGUUUUUGCACUCCAGUAUUUGGCAGCCCUUGUUGAGCCAUGAAAUGCUUACAGGCCUGUGCCAAGGGCUGGAAGGUUGGCUGAGGCCACCUGCAGCAGCUGGCUCAGUUGUGGAGCGAGGUGUACCCCGGCCAUCUGAACAGCCCUCUGGGUAUGAGGGUUUGCAACACUCACCCUGUGAGUGGUGAAAACAAAGUGACAGUGACGGGUUUGCAGCAAAGGUUCUUUGAAGAAGUGAGCCAUUUACUCAGCAGGGUCAUUUAGGGCCUGCUAGCUCCACACUGAGCCUUUGAUAUGAACUUGAUUCCUUACAGGUUCCAGUUUGGGGUUGCUGGAGGAGGUCUGUAAUGUAAUCCUUUUCUGUUUAGAAUCAUGUAAAAAGUGUACUGGAGUUGCUGAGGUUGUUUUUCAGUACUUUGAAAAAAAGGAGCUGUACAACUACAGGCUGUGUGGCUCUGUAUUUUAGUUUGUCCUCCAAGAAGGAGCAAGGUGAGGUGACCUCCUGAGGUCCCUUCCAACCUCAGCCGUCCUGUGAUUCUGUGACCAUGCUCUGGUGGGGAGCUCCAUCUCCCAGGUCAGCCCACUGCUAUCUGCAGGGCCUCAUGCUUGGUGGCAUGGCACGGGAGGUUAAACUGCAGCUUUCAUCAUCUGGGGGGAAUCUGAUCUCCGAUACAGGCGAAAUGAGUUCUGGUAAGUGCACCAAACGAGUCAAGGCACCUUGCUGAAGCUUGUGUUAUAUGAGACCACAUUUAUAAUGUUGAUCUGUAUCGAGUCAGGACGUGUGACCUCCUUUGUCUGAUGUGGGCACUGCUAUAAUCUAUACCUUCAUUAUCUCAAGUGCAGGAGCACUGUAACCCCACUCUUGCUGUCGAGUCACAACUGAACACUGCUGUGAACUGCAGGUGCCCUGAAAGGCGGCCAUGCAGUGAUGAAGUGACUUGUCACGCCGGGACCACCGUGCAUUACACCCAUUGCCUUGGGAGCACGCCGGUCACCAGUGAGAGCAGAGGGGAAAUUCAUGUCCUCUGCCUUGACCUUUGCCUCCCUGGGUGGCUCAGGGCCAGCUGACCUGCAGGGACAUUUAUUUCUCCAUGCCAUGUGCUACACGUGUGAUUACAAGUGCAGGAGCUGGGGGCCAGCUUAACCUUUAAUAGGUCCGGGAUGUGACCUGUGCAUUUUUGCAGGCACAGGGAGGAAUAUGAUGAUGAUGCAUACAUUUAAAUAGCGUGCAUGCCUAUGAUCAUCUAGUUUGACUUUCAGCAUGGCAAUGAUCCUUCCCUUCCACUGGAAUCUCUGUGUGAUGUACAUAGAAUUCAUCAGCUGCCCAAUAUUAAAGCUAGGACUUGGUUUGGGGCUGGGAUUUUGGAAUCAGGGCAUCCAAAUCUCUGGUUAUUGAUGAAGUCUGGAGUGCUGCAAUGUUAAGAAAAAGCUGCUGAGAAAUGUCAUGGGAUAUCUCAAAGAGAGACAUUUAAGGAAUACUGGAAGUACUUUGCUUUGCUUCAAGUACAGAGUUCACAGUUCUUCUUAUGAGAGAACAUCUACAGUGAAAUUAUUAAUUUAGAGAUAGUGUUGUGGACACUAACGGUUGAUCAGCAUUUUGGUGGAAUGUGAAGAGAAGCUUCUACACAUAUUUCUGUCCUCAAGCCCAGCACAGUCCUUUCUUGGAUUCUGGAAAUGGACACCAUGCCCAUGGCAAUCUAAUUCUCACAGGAAACAUUUCCAUUUUUCAAUAAGGACAAGAUUAGGCAGAAUACGAUCCCCGGUCUCUACAAGACACCAUACAAAGAAUCAAAUACGUUGUUAUUCUCCUGCCACUUGAUCCUGUUCAGCGCUUCCAUGUGUUCAUGUGCUUCCCAGAUGAAAAGCCAACACUUUUAAGCCAACAUCUGCCUCUGCUCCUCCAGUGAAAAAACUGCUCAGGCUCAUUAUUUAGCUCAUUUUCUCCUUUUAUUUUUAAGAGUAGAACAGUAUUGCAUCUUUCCCUGAUUCAUAUUCAGUGCUUCUUUUUCAAACAUUUAAUUUGCAGGUAGCACAUUUAACAUCUACCAGUUUCACUGACAAAGCACCACUCCAUUUCAAUGGGCAUUAGAUGAAACUCAUAAUCCUUUAGGAAUCUCAUCUAAUGUUAAAGAUCUGAAAUAACUACAGUUAGGUAAAUAAAUAUUCAGCAUCUUCUUAUUGCAGAUUUUCCCCCUGAGCAUUCAAUCGUCUUCCUUGAAUUUUGCCUGGGUAUAUCUUUAGUUCUGCUUCCUUCCUAAAGAAAUAAAGAAUUAUUUACAUAGGAGUUUUGCCAUAUCAGGGCCCUUAAUUAUGAUUUCUUUUACUGUGUUCAGAGAUAUCCUAUUUCAUCCUUUAUCUCUCCUUUCCUCAGCCUACCAGGGGAAAAAAAUCUCACUUCCCUUCUACUCUUCUAUUGUCUGAAGGACUAGACUUUAUUUUUGUACUUAUUUUACUUCACCAGCAAUUCCUGUUAUCUUCUCCAAAUUCUUUACAUUUUUUUUUCCAGAGUUAGGUUCUGAUAGGGAAAUGAAAACUUCCAAGAGACUACACUAGGUUAUUCUCUAUUAUUAUUAUUAUUAUUAGGCACCUUAAUUACACUGUAUUUCUUGUUAUUUCUUCCAUUCCCUUUAACUGAGGUAUUUGUAAGUCCUUAGAAGUGCAUUCUUAUUCCUUGGAUUUUCCUUAAGGAACUGGAGACUAUCCUAUUGUAGAUUUAUUGCCUUCAAGAUGUAUAUGUGUUCUCUCGUUGGCAGCCACAAUAGCCUUGUUUUACACAUUUGAAUACUGGGACAAUAUAUGCCAAUUAUGCCCAUUAGUUUGGAUAUAUGAGCUUCUUCACGUAUUCCUUUCACCUCUUGUUUACUCCUACAGAUGCAAUUUUGUACUUAGGGAUUUUAUACCCGUGUGUAUUUGUGUACACACUUUCAGCUCAAUUUGUUGAUAUUUUAAUUCCAAAGAAUCCAUGUAUACUGUAAAGUUAAAUGUGGGAAGUAUGUGCAGGACCAGCCUGCUAUCCUAUUAGCUGGUAAAGUCAAGAAGCACGAAUUUAUGCUUACAGACCACAAAAUGUACAUGCCCACUGAAACUACAUUUGGUGUGGAUUUAAAGGGAAGUUGGAGUGUAGCUGCUAUAUUUUGCAAUGUUUGCAGAACAGCAUUUGCCAAUGUAAACCUGACUUGCAAACACAUGGAGCCUUUCACUGUAAAUUGUUUCUCUUUGCUCUAAAAGGGCUCUUUAUUGAAAAUGGUCUCUCUUUACCUUGUCAUCUUGCACUAUUUAUACCGCCUGGCCAUCCUUUUCCUUUCUGUAACACAGGAAAAAAAAAAAAAAAGAUAGGCAAAUAGUAUUAUGCCCGGAAAGCUGAAAUAUUCUUCCUUGAAGCUCCUUUCAAAAUAUGCAAAGCAUAUUUAAAUUUUAUGUUAUGGAAUCUUGUACUUUACUGGACAAAUGCAGGAACUUUCUGCUUACAGUUCUAUGUAUGGAAAAGAGUCAAACUUAUUUGAGAGAGUAACCUGGCAAGAAUAAAGGCAGAAACAGUAUCAUGUGAGUGAAGAUUUUUGGCCAACCUUAUAGUCAAGCACAGGAAGCAAAAUAGAAAGCCUUAUUUACUGAAAAAGCUAGAUGCUCCUGGUCCUUUAGUUGCCUGUGUUUCUGUAUGGAUAUUGUCUUUUCUUUCAGGAUACCUUGGCAAGAAUUGAGAGAUGGCUUAGAGAAAUGUAAACUCUAAACUCUUAGAGAAAUGUAAACUCUACUCUAAAUUACCCCAAAUGUAAUACUCUAAUGUCCCAUAGAACAAUUCUAUUAUAAUACUGAGUCCCUCUAAUACUCUUCACAGGCAGCAAGGUAAUAAAGAAAAAAAAGUGACUAAUGGUUCUCUUACAAUCUGAAUUACUUAACCCCCAAUCACAGAAACAACUGUCACCUCUGUGGCCUGCAGAGAAUCCUUCAGGUAGGACUGUACAGUUCAAAAUAACAUGUAUGAAAUUCUCUGUUUAUUUUU